UACGUAGGGGGCAAGCGUUAUCCGGAUUCACUGGGUGUAAAGGGCGUGCAGCCGGGCUGACAAGUCAGAUGUGAAAUCCCGCGGCUUAACCGCGGAACUGCAUUUGAAACUGUUGGUCUUGAGUAUCGGAGAGGCAGGCGGAAUUCCUAGUGUAGCGGUGAAAUGCGUAGAUAUUAGGAGGAACACCAGUGGCGAAGGCGGCCUGCUGGACGACAACUGACGGUGAGGCGCGAAAGCGUGGGGAGCAAACAGG
rnacentral:rRNA from 1 species